rnacentral:rRNA from 1 species
CCUACGGGAGGCUGCAGUGGGGAAUAUUGCACAAUGGGGGAAACCCUGAUGCAGCGACGCCGCGUGAGCGAUGAAGUAUUUCGGGAUGUUAAGCUCUAUUAACAGGGAAGAAAAUGACGGUACCUGACUAAGAAUCCACGGCUAACUUCGUGCCAGCAGCCGCGGUAAUACGGAGGGGGCAAGCGUUAUCCGGAUUUACUGGGUGUAAAGGGGGCGUAGACGGCGGUGAAAGUCAGAUGUGAAAGCCCGGGGCUCAACCCCGGGACUGCAUUUGGAACUGUGCUGCUAGAGUGUCGGUGAGGCAGGCGGAAUUCGUAGUGUAGCGGUGAAAUGCGUAGAUAUUAGGAGGAACACCAGUGGCGAAGGCGGCCUGCUGGGCGAUGACUGACGUUGAUGCUCGAAAGCGUGGGGAGCAAACAGGAUUAGAUACCCGAGUAGUC